GUGUGACUGCGUACCUUUUGUAUAAUGGGUCAGCGACUUAUAUUCUGUAGCAAGGUUAACCGAAUAGGGGAGCCGAAGGGAAACCGAGUCUUAACUGGGCGUUAAGUUGCAGGGUAUAGACCCGAAACCCGGUGAUCUAGCCAUGGGCAGGUUGAAGGUUGGGUAACACUAACUGGAGGACCGAACCGACUAAUGUUGAAAAAUUAGCGGAUGACUUGUGGCUGGGGGUGAAAGGCCAAUCAAACCGGGAGAUAGCUGGUUCUCCCCGAAAGCUAUUUAGGUAGCGCCUCGUGAAUUCAUCUCCGGGGGUAGAGCACUGUUUCGGCAAGGGGGUCAUCCCGACUUACCAACCCGAUGCAAACUGCGAAUACCGGAGAAUGUUAUCACGGGAGACACACGGCGGGUGCUAACGUCCGUCGUGAAGAGGGAAACAACCCAGACCGCCAGCUAAGGUCCCAAAGUCAUGGUUAAGUGGGAAACGAUGUGGGAAGGCCCAGACAGCCAGGAUGUUGGCUUAGAAGCAGCCAUCAUUUAAAGAAAGCGUAAUAGCUCACUGGUCGAGUCGGCCUGCGCGGAAGAUGUAACGGGGCUAAACCAUGCACCGAAGCUGCGGCAGCGACGCUUAUGCGUUGUUGGGUAGGGGAGCGUUCUGUAAGCCUGCGAAGGUGUGCUGUGAGGCAUGCUGGAGGUAUCAGAAGUGCGAAUGCUGACAUAAGUAACGAUAAAGCGGGUGAAAAGCCCGCUCGCCGGAAGACCAAGGGUUCCUGUCCAACGUUAAUCGGGGCAGGGUGAGUCGACCCCUAAGGCGAGGCCGAAAGGCGUAGUCGAUGGGAAACAGGUUAAUAUUCCUGUACUUGGUGUUACUGCGAAGGGGGGACGGAGAAGGCUAUGUUGGCCGGGCGACGGUUGUCCCGGUUUAAGCGUGUAGGCUGGUUUUCCAGGCAAAUCCGGAAAACUAAGGCUGAGGCGUGAUGACGAGGCACUACGGUGCUGAAGCAACAAAUGCCCUGCUUCCAGGAAAAGCCUCUAAGCAUCAGGUAACAUCAAAUCGUACCCCAAACCGACACAGGUGGUCAGGUAGAGAAUACCAAGGCGCUUGAGAGAACUCGGGUGAAGGAACUAGGCAAAAUGGUGCCGUAACUUCGGGAGAAGGCACGCUGAUAUGUAGGUGAAG
rnacentral:rRNA from 1 species